rnacentral:rRNA from 1 species
AGCGGCGAACGGGUGAGUAACACGUAGGUGAUCUGCCCAUCAGACGGGGACAACGAUUGGAAACGAUCGCUAAUACCGGAUAGGACGAAAGUUUAAAGGUGCUUCUGGCACCGCUGAUGGAUGAGCCUGCGGCGCAUUAGCUAGUUGGUAGGGUAAAGGCCUACCAAGGCGACGAUGCGUAGCCGACCUGAGAGGGUGAACGGCCACACUGGGACUGAGACACGGCCCAGACUCCUACGGGAGGCAGCAGUAGGGAAUCUUCGGCAAUGGGCGAAAGCCUGACCGAGCAACGCCGCGUGAAUGAUGAAGGCCUUCGGGUUGUAAAAUUCUGUUAUAAGGGAAGAACGACUUUAGUAGGAAAUGGCUAGAGUGUGACGGUACCUUAUGAGAAAGCCACGGCUAACUACGUGCCAGCAGCCGCGGUAAUACGUAGGUGGCGAGUGUUAUCCGGAAUUAUUGGGCGUAAAGAGCGCGCAGGUGGUUGAUUAAGUCUGAUGUGAAAGCCCACGGCUUAACCGUGGAGGGUCAUUGGAAACUGGUCGACUUGAGUGCAGAAGAGGGAAGUGGAAUUCCAUGUGUAGCGGUGAAAUGCGUAGAGAUAUGGAGGAACACCAGUGGCGAAGGCGGCUUCCUGGUCUGUAACUGACACUGAGGCGCGAAAGCGUGGGGAGCAAACAGGAUUAGAUACCCUGGUAGUCCACGCCGUAAACGAUGAGUGCUAAGUGU